AAAGGGGGGGGGGGGAGACGGGGAAUAUCCGCGUAACCUCCUUGUUGUCAUGCCAUGACCCCCCGGUGGCCUCUGGUCUUCCCUCCGCAGUGAGCCCCGGUGCGACAGCCCCGGCUACCCCCGCGUGGCCCCGUGGGCCGGCCGCCCGGGCCCGCCCGACGCGCACGGCUACCCCGCGGACGACCCCGCGCGUUACCAGGGCGAGCUCGGCGAGCUGGACGCCCAGGGCGACCAGUAUAUCUACGUCACGUACCCGCCAGACCUCAAGCGCCGUCUGCUGGAGAGCUGCUACAACAGAACCACGCGUCUGUGAUGCAGCGCUGCGCUAGCCAACUAGCUAGUGCCCUGCGCCCCUGCUGGCUAAUGGUCGCGCUAGCCAGCGUUCUCCCCCCAGGGGUGUCCAGGGGCUGUCGGCCGCACCUCGGAGACACCCCAGGGGUGACAACCCCCUGGCAGGCCGGCAGAACCUCCUCGACGUAACGACACCCGACCAACAUUCCAAAGGCCCGCCCAGCAGCCGCCGACGCCAUCCCUAUCGCCAGCGCUCCACCACCACCACGCCCACCACUACCAGCACCAACACCUGCAGCAGCAGCACCACCAGCCCAGCCAGCCCGUGAUGGCGCCCCACCUCGGCGGCCACCACCUCCACCACCACCACCAGCAGCACUACCCCAUGCACGGCUCCCCCUCGCCCUCGCCGCAUCUGUCCCACCUGUCCCAGAUGUCCCACAUGCAGCACCUCGCCCAGAUGCCCCGCGGCAGCCCCAUGGGCGCCCACAUGCAGCCCAGCCCGAUGAGCAGCACCCCCAAGCAGCAGGAGCCCAACCCCUACGAACGGGAGUGGAGGAUCUAACGCCGGGCCUCGACGCUAACACCUUAGCUAAAGGCCACUUACUGGCGCUUACAUACCGGCUGCCUCCCCACUUUCGCCAACCCCUGCUGCCCCGCCUCGUGCUGAGCAACACCGUGCGAAAGGUUUUCGUGGGUUAUCGAAACGUUAUCGGCGUUAUCGUCCACUUGUCGUCAACGAGUCAGACGCGACACAUUCAACGAUAUUAAAAUGACAUCGUUUCGAUUCUUUCCGCACGGUGAUGCGUCCAGCGCGUUACCUUGCUCGGAGGCAUGAAAACAUAUGAAUUUGAACCCAUCUGAAGACUUUGAGUUUGAUUGCUCUACAACAUCUGCAAUUUCAGCCUGCCAAAGCACAAUGACCUACUGUGAAAGAUGAUAUUUUAACUAGACUUACUGAGGUCCUGGCGUACUAGGUAUAUGGUUUUCUUCAAUUUUGCAUUAGGAGCAAGAUAUCAUCAUUUGAUCUGGUUUGGUUCAUUUUCCAUUUUUGUGAUCUUACAAUGUAGUUGAGUUUCCACACCCCCUCCAAACGGCUGUCUAUGUAUUUCUGUAAUUUAUGGUUUCUAUUGAGGAGACGUGUUCAGUACAACUACUUCAUAAUGAGUUUGUAAAUUAAUUAAUUCCUUGACCAGCAGGGUUCAGUCAAUCUCUUAUAGCAUGGUUUACAAAAGUGACUACUUUGUCAACACUUGAACUUUUUCUUUUUAUAAUCUAGAACCCUGGUGAAACAUACAAAUUUGCAAAUUUUUAGGUUCACAUAGUGAAUUGGGCUCUGAUAAGCCUGAGCAGAAUUUCUGAGCGCCAUAAAAUAAACCAAGAACCUUUAAUGCCAUUUUUUUCUUGCUUCUUUCCUGAUUCCAAGUGUACUGAAGAAUAAUUAAUAUUCUAGUAAAUUCUAGAUAGAUUUUUACACUUUCAAGAAAACAUUGUAAGUAGAAUUACCUCAGGAGCAGUUGUUAUACUGUAGUUAAGUUAUAAUACCUUUAAAUCGGAAAAUGGCUGCAAAUCGCUCAAAUACCAACAUCAUAGGAGAAACAUGGCAAGCAUUCCAAAAUGAGAAGACAGACAUUUCCGAUUGUGGUAUUUUCUUGAGCACAAACUUCUGAUUUUAAGUGAUAAACUAAAAGUUAAUGUAGACCUUUUUUUCUUUUUUAUCAAGAGACUGCUAUAUAAUUAAUUGACAUCCUCUUACCUUCUAACCGCAUAACGCAUGCAAGCUCAAGGAAGUGGCUCUAGACAAAAAUAAAUUUUUUGUUUUGCUUUCAAGCAGUUUAACAAUUAAGUUUAUAUCAAGAUAGUACUGUUGUAAGUCCUUAGCUAAGACUCAGCUAAAUUUGAGAUCAAACCAGGUAGUCUGGUAGCCACUUCCCAUUUUCUUACGGCUUUUUUGACCAUGUAUGUAUUGUAUUUUUUCUAUUCAAUUAAACAUCUCAUUCAAAGUAAA